GCCAGGCAGAAAUGGUGUGUGCCUUUAGUCUCAGCUACUCAGAGGAUAAGGCUGGGAGGAUCACUUGAGCCCAGGAGUUCUGGUCUGUAGGACACUAUGACUAGAGGAUAUCUGCAUUAACUUCAGCAUCAAUAUAGUGAACUUUUGGUAGAGGGGUAUCAUGAGGUUGCUCUAGGAGAGGUGAAUCUGCCCAGAUCGAAUAUGGAGCAGAUCAAAAUUCCCGUGCUGAUCAGUAGCAAGAUUGUUCCUGUGAGCAGCCACUGUACUCCAGCCUGGGCAACAUAGCAAGACCCCAUCCCU
rnacentral:SRP_RNA from 1 species